rnacentral:miRNA from 1 species
CUUGGUCCCUUUCAACCAGCUU